GACGAAUCAUCUGGAAAGAUGAAUCAAAGAAGGUAAUAAUCCUGUAGUCGAAAAUGUUGUCUCUCUUGAGUGGAUCCUGAGUACGACGGAGCACGUGAAAUUCCGUCGGAAUCUGGGAGGACCAUCUCCUAAGGCUAAAUACUCUCUAGUGACCGAUAGUGAACCAGUACCGUGAGGGAAAGGUGAAAAGCACCCCGGAAGGGGAGUGAAAUAGAACCUGAAACCGUGUGCUUACAAGUAGUCAGAGCCCGUUAAUGGGUGAUGGCGUGCCUUUUGUAGAAUGAACCGGCGAGUUACGAUUUGAUGCAAGGUUAAGCAGUAAAUGUGGAGCCGUAGCGAAAGCGAGUCUGAAUAGGGCGUUUAGUAUUUGGUCGUA
rnacentral:rRNA from 1 species